GUUAAACAAAAAAAAAGUGUACUAUAAACUUCUCUCUACACGUUUACUCGGUGUGUAUUGUGUACAAAAUACGAACUUGUGGACUAAUUUAGCUAGAUAAAAAUUUGUGUUGUGUGUAAAGCUUCGUUUUAUGUUUAAUUACGUAAAACAUUUAAGAUGGCUUUUAUGUAUGCAUUAGUUUUAUUUUUAAAUGAUUCGUCCAAUAAAGAAAUUGAUAUAUUGAAUAUCGUGGUACCGGAUGUAAAUAGCCUGAAUCAUUGUUAAAAAGUAUUAAGUAUUGUAAAUUAUUACAAACGAUAGUUAAACAUUGUGAAGGGUCUGACUGACAUGGCCAACGUUUUAUGUUCAAAUAACUGGCACAGCAGAAACAAUGGAAGAGGCAGAGGAAAAAUUAAUAAGAUUAAAAAGAACCCCUAUUCUUCUCUACCAAUAAUGAGUAGUCUGGUAAUGCAAAAGCGGCUGCUCUUGAAAAAACUUUCAAAUAAAAGCAUUAGCAAAGGAUUGAUUAAAAAUAGAUAAUAUAUUUAGCCAAAUAGCUUUAGAGUUAACUGAUGAACCCACUGAAAUUGCAGAACCUAAGAAAUAAAAGCCAUAAAAAUGUAACCAAAAAAUUGUGAAGAAACAAGCCUAAAAACAUAGUCUCGAAUGGUCAUCUACAUCAAUAGUGUCUUCGAUAUCUUCAUCACCACCGUCAUUGUUAUGUAAACCUACGAAAAUAAAUAAUGAAACUAAAAAAAACGAAUUAAUGACAGUACUAACUACAUAGUUGGUUAAAAAAUUAGUUCAUAAUCUACACCAUACUACCUUGAUCAUCUUCAUCAUCACCAUCAACUAAACGUAGAAAAAUAAGAAAAAUCAACUCGAAUUUGAAGGACAUAAAUAUGCAUAUGGAAAUAGCACAUGAAGACAGUACAUUAGCAACAAUUGCUGAUAAUCCCUUUUCAUCAUCAUCAUAAAUCUGAAACAGAA